rnacentral:misc_RNA from 1 species
AACACUGUUAACCUGCGGUACCUGCGGAAGGAUCAUUAUUGAAUAAACUUGGUCAAGCUGUUGCUGGUCCUUCGGGACAUGUGCACGCUUGCCACCAAUUUUAACCACCUGUGCACUUUUUGUAGACUUGGAAACGUUUCUCGAGGCGACUCGGAUUGAGAACUGCUGGCGCAAGUCGGCUUUUCUUAUGUUUUCUCAGUCUAUGUUUUCAUAUACACCUAAUGUAUGUAUCAGAAUGUA